GGGUUGUGAGGUUAAGCGACUAAGCGUACACGGUGGAUGCCCUGGCAGUCAGAGGCGAUGAAGGACGUGCUAAUCUGCGAUAAGCGUCGGUAAGGUGAUAUGAACCGUUAUAACCGGCGAUUUCCGAAUGGGGAAACCCAGUGUGUUUCGACACACUAUCAUUAACUGAAUCCAUAGGUUAAUGAGGCGAACCGGGGGAACUGAAACAUCUAAGUACCCCGAGGAAAAGAAAUCAACCGAGAUUCCCCCAGUAGCGGCGAGCGAACGGGGAGCAGCCCAGAGCCUGAAUCAGUGUGUGUGUUAGUGGAAGCGUCUGGAAAGGCGCGCGAUACAGGGUGACAGCCCCGUACACAAAAAUGCACAUGCUGUGAGCUCGAUGAGUAGGGCGGGACACGUGGUAUCCUGUCUGAAUAUGGGGGGACCAUCCUCCAAGGCUAAAUACUCCUGACUGACCGAUAGUGAACCAGUACCGUGAGGGAAAGGCGAAAAGAACCCCGGCGAGGGGAGUGAAAAAGAACCUGAAACCGUGUACGUACAAGCAGUGGGAGCACGCUUAGGCGUGUGACUGCGUACCUUUUGUAUAAUGGGUCAGCGACUUAUAUUCUGUAGCAAGGUUAACCGAAUAGGGGAGCCGAAGGGAAACCGAGUCUUAACUGGGCGUUAAGUUGCAGGGUAUAGACCCGAAACCCGGUGAUCUAGCCAUGGGCAGGUUGAAGGUUGGGUAACACUAACUGGAGGACCGAACCGACUAAUGUUGAAAAAUUAGCGGAUGACUUGUGGCUGGGGGUGAAAGGCCAAUCAAACCGGGAGAUAGCUGGUUCUCCCCGAAAGCUAUUUAGGUAGCGCCUCGUGAAUUCAUCUCCGGGGGUAGAGCACUGUUUCGGCAAGGGGGUCAUCCCGACUUACCAACCCGAUGCAAACUGCGAAUACCGGAGAAUGUUAUCACGGGAGACACACGGCGGGUGCUAACGUCCGUCGUGAAGAGGGAAACAACCCAGACCGCCAGCUAAGGUCCCAAAGUCAUGGUUAAGUGGGAAACGAUGUGGGAAGGCCCAGACAGCCAGGAUGUUGGCUUAGAAGCAGCCAUCAUUUAAAGAAAGCGUAAUAGCUCACUGGUCGAGUCGGCCUGCGCGGAAGAUGUAACGGGGCUAAACCAUGCACCGAAGCUGCGGCAGCGACGCUGAUGCGUUGUUGGGUAGGGGAGCGUUCUGUAAGCCUGCGAAGGUGUGCUGUGAGGCAUGCUGGAGGUAUCAGAAGUGCGAAUGCUGACAUAAGUAACGAUAAAGCGGGUGAAAAGCCCGCUCGCCGGAAGACCAAGGGUUCCUGUCCAACGUUAAUCGGGGCAGGGUGAGUCGACCCCUAAGGCGAGGCCGAAAGGCGUAGUCGAUGGGAAACAGGUUAAUAUUCCUGUACUUGGUGUUACUGCGAAGGGGGGACGGAGAAGGCUAUGUUGGCCGGGCGACGGUUGUCCCGGUUUAAGCGUGUAGGCUGGUUUUCCAGGCAAAUCCGGAAAAUCAAGGCUGAGGCGUGAUGACGAGGCACUACGGUGCUGAAGCAACAAAUGCCCUGCUUCCAGGAAAAGCCUCUAAGCAUCAGGUAACAUCAAAUCGUACCCCAAACCGACACAGGUGGUCAGGUAGAGAAUACCAAGGCGCUUGAGAGAACUCGGGUGAAGGAACUAGGCAAAAUGGUGCCGUAACUUCGGGAGAAGGCACGCUGAUAUGUAGGUGAGGUCCCUCGCGGAUGGAGCUGAAAUCAGUCGAAGAUACCAGCUGGCUGCAACUGUUUAUUAAAAACACAGCACUGUGCAAACACGAAAGUGGACGUAUACGGUGUGACGCCUGCCCGGUGCCGGAAGGUUAAUUGAUGGGGUUAGCGCAAGCGAAGCUCUUGAUCGAAGCCCCGGUAAACGGCGGCCGUAACUAUAACGGUCCUAAGGUAGCGAAAUUCCUUGUCGGGUAAGUUCCGACCUGCACGAAUGGCGUAAUGAUGGCCAGGCUGUCUCCACCCGAGACUCAGUGAAAUUGAACUCGCUGUGAAGAUGCAGUGUACCCGCGGCAAGACGGAAAGACCCCGUGAACCUUUACUAUAGCUUGACACUGAACAUUGAGCCUUGAUGUGUAGGAUAGGUGGGAGGCUUAGAAGUGUGGACGCCAGUCUGCAUGGAGCCGACCUUGAAAUACCACCCUUUAAUGUUUGAUGUUCUAACGUUGACUCGUAAUCCGGGUUGCGGACAGUGUCUGGUGGGUAGUUUGACUGGGGCGGUCUCCUCCUAAAGAGUAACGGAGGAGCACGAAGGUUGGCUAAUCCUGGUCGGACAUCAGGAGGUUAGUGCAAUGGCAUAAGCCAGCUUGACUGCGAGCGUGACGGCGCGAACAGGUGCGAAAGCAGGUCAUAGUGAUCCGGUGGUUCUGAAUGGAAGGGCCAUCGCUCAACGGAUAAAAGGUACUCCGGGGAUAACAGGCUGAUACCGCCCAAGAGUUCAUAUCGACGGCGGUGUUUGGCACCUCGAUGUCGGCUCAUCACAUCCUGGGGCUGAAGUAGGUCCCAAGGGUAUGGCUGUUCGCCAUUUAAAGUGGUACGCGAGCUGGGUUUAGAACGUCGUGAGACAGUUCGGUCCCUAUCUGCCGUGGGCGCUGGAGAACUGAGGGGGGCUGCUCCUAGUACGAGAGGACCGGAGUGGACGCAUCACUGGUGUUCGGGUUGUCAUGCCAAUGGCACUGCCCGGUAGCUAAAUGCGGAAGAGAUAAGUGCUGAAAGCAUCUAAGCACGAAACUUGCCCCGAGAUGAGUUCUCCCUGACCCUUUAAGGGUCCUGAAGGAACGUUGAAGACGACGACGUUGAUAGGCCGGGUGUGUAAGCGCAGCGAUGCGUUGAGCUAACCGGUACUAAUGAACCGUGAGGCUUAACCUUACAACGCCGAAGCUGUU
rnacentral:rRNA from 1 species